CAAAGGGAAGCCAUAUAACAACUAGACCCAGAAAUGCUGCCGGCUUCCCAAACGCUUAUUGAGUGUUGUUGAACAGGAAAGAUGAUGUAACAGUGGUAAACAUGCCCCUGUCCCAGCUUCUGUGUCAGGGAACGACCAGGAGACAGACUGGAGUAAUUAAACAGAGCUUUAUUUCAAUGAUCCAAAACUGAGAACAGAGAGAACUGGCAGGAAUCCGGCAGCAGAGUAGGUCAGGCUCAGAGCAGCAGGCAGACAACAGGAUACAGGACUACAGGGCCAAGCUUCCUGCCCUCCUGAUUGGACUCAGUUUGGCUCUCGCUGUUUCAGUUUCAACAUUGGGCCAAAGACCUGGCCCGAUGCAGAGGAGGGCACGUGGUUGUGGACUGAUGGAUCCAAAUUCAACUACAGAAUCUUCAAUGGUGGGCAGCCGGACAACACCGGUGGAGUGGAGAAGUGUCUUGAGAUGAACUUUGAAGGCGCACAUACUCCCGUGAGUUUUUGCUCGCCAUCGGCAGAACCAUAUUCACGGACAUAAAUCCAGCGGACGCGGAAGAGCUACGCGAAUGCGGUCUGUUCCAGAGGCCUGCUCAACUACCGACCCCCACUACUGCAACCAGCCCACAGUGGAAGUGCCAUAGGCGGUGUAUGAGGAAGCAGAAGAGGGGGAAGCGCGGGGGUAUCCAGGCUAGGCUAGCGGCUAGCCCUCACCAGCCGGCUAUCCCUACCAUCACACUGGCCAACGUACGCUCGCUGGAAAAUAAACUGGACUAUAUCCGCCUACUUUGCACAACUUCUAAGACUGUGAGUAAGUGUUGUGUCCUUGUGUUCGUGGAAACAUGUCUUAAUGACGGUGUCCCGGACUGUGCCAUUCAGCUAGCCCAGCUAACAAGCUACCGGGCGGACAGAGCGCUCGUCGAGCUGAACACUAAACACUCAUACACUCUGAACUCUGCACAUUUCACUUCCCCCUGCUUGUUUAUUAUUGCACUACACAGUUCUACCUCACCUGUUUAAAUAUUUUAAAUACUUUUUUAUUUAUCCUAUUUAUUUUAAAUACUGGGAGUCUGAUUGUUGAUUGUUAUUGUACGUCUUGUUGAUAGUUGAUUGUUUAUUUUUAUGUCAUGUUAAAUUGUUGAUUGUUUAUUCUAUGUCUUUUCUUUUUUUUGUAGGUAGAAGCAAAAGUGUUAUUGUUACAUCAUAAGUGACAGAAUUAUCAACCUUCUUAUUCUUUUUUUUUUCUUUUUCUUUUUUUUUCUUCUUACAUUCAGAUUUAGAAUUACAUUCAGUGCAUUAACAGUUGCCCCACCAUGACCAUUCACCCUGCUUUAGUGAGACCCUGGAUCCAUAUGAGGGCAGGGGGGAUUUAAAGCACCACGCACGAAGUGUAACACAAAACACAUAAAACGUGACAAAGUGGCAAAAGGAAGUGAGACAGGACAAUAACAGAACUGACAAAACGGGACUGGACAGGACAGUUGACAAACAUCAGAAUGUAUUAUUAAUAAGUGUGGAUGGUGUUGCUAGUGUGUGUAUGAGUAAAGUGAUAACUGUAAGGGAAAAAAUAAGGGGAAAUUAGAAUAAUUAAAUUAUAUAAAUAAUGUACAGCUUGUAGUUAUAUUUUUGUUGAAAUUAGAAAUGUUAGAAAUGGGGACCAGGUGUCUUCAAAGGCUGAUAUUUGCUUCUCUCUGUGUGCAUUGUGUUUUUCCAUUGAGAUGUAUUCUGUAUUAAAUUUAUCCAGUGAUUGAUGUGGCAAGAAUUCUUUGAUUUCCAAUUUUGGAAGACUACUUUUUUAGCGACAGCUAGAGAAAUGAACAACGGAUUCCUGAAUUUUUGCGGCAUGUGCAUUUCGGAGAUAUCACCAAGGAGACAGAGUGUUGGAGAAGAUGGGAUUCUGUAGCUCAGGGUGGUGGACAGUGUCUCGGUUACCGUGAUCCAGAAUGAAUGAACUGGUUGACAGAGCCACAUGGCGUGUAGAUAAUCGUCUGUGCUACCUAAGGUGCAUUGUGAACAAGUACCUGUGUUUGCUAGGCCCAUUUUGAACAUUUUACUUUGGGUGAGUCCUAUGAAUGACUUUAUAUUGUAUAAGCUGCAGGUUUGUGUUAGCGGUCAUGGAGAAGGUAUUCUUACAGAUUUGUUCCCAGUAUUCAGGGUUGGGAGAGAAGACCAGAUCAGCUUCCCACUUGGUUGUUGGGAGUGUUAUUGUUGUGUUUAGGUUGGAAAUCAUUGUAUAUAGCCUGGAGGUUAGUUUUUUUGAAGUUAUUCAUUUUCAUAAGUUCUUCUGUGAGCUGAGAGGGUUGUAACGUGUUAUUGGUGAUUCUGAUUUUAUCUUUUAUUUUAAGUCUAAGUUGUUGAUCUUGAAGGAACUGUUUUCUCCCAACCCCAUAUUUCUCUGAGUGUGUUAAAUGACAUGAAAUGGUUGUUCUCAAAUAGGUGGUGAAGGUGUGUGAUUCCUUUUUGUGCCCAUAUGGAGAAGUAAAAAGGUUUGUUCUGUAACAUGAACACUGGAUUGUGCCAGAGUGGGGUGAACUUGUUUAAUUCUAGUGAUGAUUUUGUGAUUUGGUUUGUUUUCCACCAGGCUGUCAGAGUUGAAUAGAUGGUAAUGCGUUGGUAGAAGUUGGAUUUCUUGAUUGAUUGUGAGAAGAAGGGGAGAUCUGCAACUGGGAUGUUUGUGCAUUGGUUUUGUUCCAGUUCCAGCCACGGGUAAUUGUGCUUAUGUAUAUUGAUCCAUUUAACCAUGUACUGUAAUUAAUUUGCCAGGAAGUAGUGAUAGAAGUUUGGUGCCUCGGUCCGUGUACUUUUUCGUUCAUUCGAUUUUCAUUUCAUAAACAGGUAUUAAAAAACAAAAAACUAAUGGUUAUUUGAUUUUC